rnacentral:rRNA from 1 species
ACGCUAGCGAUAGGCUUAACACAUGCAAGUCGAGGGGCAGCAUGAUCUUAGCUUGCUAAGGUUGAUGGCGACCGGCGCACGGGUGCGUAACGCGUAUGCAACUUGCCUUACAGAGGGGGAUAACCCGUUGAAAGACGGACUAAAACCGCAUACACUUGUAUUAUUGCAUGAUAUUACAAGGAAAUAAUUAUAGCUGUAAGAUAGGCAUGCGUCCCAUUAGCUGGUUGGUGAGGUAACGGCUCACCAAGGCGACGAUGGGUAGGGGAACUGAGAGGUUUAUCCCCCACACUGGUACUGAGACACGGACCAGACUCCUACGGGAGGCAGCAGUGAGGAAUAUUGGUCAAUGGGCGAGAGCCUGAACCAGCCAAGUCGCGUGAAGGAAGACAGUCCUAAGGAUUGUAAACUUCUUUUAUACGGGAAUAACGGGCGAUACGAGUAUUGCAUUGAAUGUACCGUAAGAAUAAGCAUCGGCUAACUCCGUGCCAGCAGCCGCGGUAAUACGGAGGAUGCGAGCGUUAUCCGGAUUUAUUGGGUUUAAAGGGUGCGUAGGUUGUUCGGUAAGUCAGCGGUGAAACCUGAGCGCUCAACGUUCAGCCUGCCGUUGAAACUGCCGGGCUUGAGUUCAGUGGCGGCAGGCGGAAUUCGUGGUGUAGCGGUGAAAUGCAUAGAUAUCACGAGGAACUCCGAUUGCGAAGGCAGCUUGCCAUACUGCGACUGACACUGAAGCACGAAGGCGUGGGUAUCAAACAGGAUUAGAUACCCUGGUAGUCCACGCAGUAAACGAUGAUUACUAGGGGUUUGCGAUAUACCGUCAAGCUUCCACAGCGAAAGCGUUAAGUAAUACACCUGGGGAGUACGCCGGCAACGGUGAAACUCAAAGGAAUUGACGGGGGCCCGCACAAGCGGAGGAACA